rnacentral:rRNA from 1 species
GACGAACGCUGGCGGCGUGCCUAAUACAUGCAAGUAGAACGCUGAAGAGAGGAGCUUACUCUUCUUGGAUGAGUUGCGAAAGGGUGAGUAACGCGUAGGUAACCUGCCUUGUAGCGGGGGAUAACUAUUGGAAACGAUAGCUAAUACCGCAUAACAAUGGAUGACACAUGUCAUUUAUUUGAAAGGGGCAAUUGCUCCACUACAAGAUGGACCUGCGUUGUAUUAGCUAGUAGGUGAGGUAAUGGCUCACCUAGGCGACGAUACAUAGCCGACCUGAGAGGGUGAUCGGCCACACUGGGACUGAGACACGGCCCAGACUCCUACGGGAGGCAGCAGUAGGGAAUCUUCGGCAAUGGGGGCAACCCUGACCGAGCAACGCCGCGUGAGUGAAGAAGGUUUUCGGAUCGUAAAGCUCUGUUGUAAGUCAAGAACGGGUGUGAGAGUGGAAAGUUCACACUGUGACGGUAGCUUACCAGAAAGGGACGGCUAACUACGUG